rnacentral:rRNA from 1 species
AACGAACGCUGGCGGCAUGCCUAACACAUGCAAGUCGAACGAUCCCUUCGGGGAUAGUGGCGCACGGGUGCGUAACGCGUGGGAACCUGCCCUUAGGUUCGGAAUAACUCAGAGAAAUUUGAGCUAAUACCGGAUAAUGUCUUCGGACCAAAGAUUUAUCGCCUUUGGAUGGGCCCGCGUUGGAUUAGCUAGUUGGUGGGGUAAAGGCCUACCAAGGCGACGAUCCAUAGCUGGUCUGAGAGGAUGAUCAGCCACACUGGGACUGAGGCACGGCCCAGACUCCUACGGGAGGCAGCAGUGGGGAAUAUUGGACAAUGGGCGAAAGCCUGAUCCAGCAAUGCCGCGUGAGUGAUGAAGGCCUUAGGGUUGUAAAGCUCUUUUACCCGGGAUGAUAAUGACAGUACCGGGAGAAUAAGCCCCGGCUAACUCCGU